AACGAACGCUGGCGGCGCGCCUAAUACAUGCAAGUCGAGCGAGAAGACGUAGCAAUACGUUUGUAAAGCGGCGAACGGGUGAGGAAUACAUGGGUAACCUACCCUCGAGUGGGGAAUAACUAGCCAAAGGUUAGCUAAUACCGCGUACGCUCCUUGGACUUCGGUUCAGGGAGGAAAGCGAUACCGUGGGUAUCGCGCUCUUGGAUGGGCUCAUGUCCUAUCAGCUUGUUGGUGAGGUAACGGCUCACCAAGGCUUCGACGGGUAGCUGGUCUGAGAGGACAAUCAGCCACACUGGCACUGCGACACGGGCCAGACUCCUACGGGAGGCAGCAAGUAAGGAAUAUUG
rnacentral:rRNA from 1 species